AGAGUUUGAUCCUGGCUCAGGACGAACGCUGGCGGCGUGCCUAAUACAUGCAAGUCGAGCGAGCUGAAUUCAAAGAUUCCUUCGGGAUGAUUUGUUGGACGCUAGCGGCGGAUGGGUGAGUAACACGUGGGCAAUCUGCCCUAAAGACUGGGAUACCACUUGGAAACAGGUGCUAAUACCGGAUAACAACAUGAAUCGCAUGAUUCAAGUUUGAAAGGCGGCGUAAGCUGUCACUUUAGGAUGAGCCCGCGGCGCAUUAGCUAGUUGGUGGGGUAAAGGCCUACCAAGGCAAUGAUGCGUAGCCGAGUUGAGAGACUGAUCGGCCACAUUGGGACUGAGACACGGCCCAAACUCCUACGGGAGGCAGCAGUAGGGAAUCUUCGGCAAUGGGGGCAACCCUGACCGAGCAACGCCGCGUGAGUGAAGAAGGUUUUCGGAUCGUAAAGCUCUGUUGUAAGUCAAGAACGGGUGUGAGAGUGGAAAGUUCACACUGUGACGGUAGCUUACCAGAAAGGGACGGCUAACUACGUGCCAGCAGCCGCGGUAAUACGUAGGUCCCGAGCGUUGUCCGGAUUUAUUGGGCGUAAAGCGAGCGCAGGCGGUUUGAUAAGUCUGAAGUUAAAGGCUGUGGCUCAACCAUAGUUCGCUUUGGAAACUGUCAAACUUGAGUGCAGAAGGGGAGAGUGGAAUUCCAUGUGUAGCGGUGGAAUGCGUAGAUAUAUGGAAGAACACCAGUGGCGAAGGCGGCUCUCUGGUCUGCAACUGACGCUGAGGCUCGAAAGCAUGGGUAGCGAACAGGAUUAGAUACCCUGGUAGUCCAUGCCGUAAACGAUGAGCGCUAGGUGUUGGGGACUUUCCGGUUCU
rnacentral:rRNA from 1 species